ACUACCUCAGGCCGAAAAAAGACGCCAUCAGUGACUUGCAGCCAUCAAGAGAGCAGACUGGACACCAACUGCAAACACUCGUCUGUGGUGAGUGGAUGUAAAUAUAUUGUUAGCGAGCUACACCACCAUCUCUUUUUGUGUGUGUGUACUUUUAAUGGUUUUAGUGUAAAUGAGUUAAUGCCAUAGCCUCCCCUCUGCUCUCCGUCCUGUAACGUUAUUUACCACAUAUCUCACAGAUAUUAUUCAAGUGCUCCUAAGACUGGUGACAUUAGCAAGUGGUUAGCUCAUCUGUUUACACUAUAACGUUUGCAGCCUGGAGCAUUGUUUGUAGUUACUGUUUUGCAAAAGCAUAGCACAUAUGAGUUCUUCAGUCCUUAUUAACUUCACAUACUAGUAUUAUUUAUUUUACUGACAUUGUAGAUUUCUUUCCAAUAACAUAUUGUUCACAUUUGACAUAAUUUCAUUACAUGUUGUUGACUUUUGAGAGUUAUUCACAAUCUAAAUUCUACCCUGAAAUCUUUGUCUUUCCAGGUGUGAAGAGCCAGAACCCUCUGAGCCCUGACUUUGUACCAACAAUAUUUCCGUACCUCAGCUCCCCCAACAAGAGGAAGAGGAUUAAUCAAAUGACACGAUUCAAACAAACACAGGAACUGAAAAGAAAAAGAGUAGUUAGUUUGGACAGAGGAGAAAGAAGGAGAGGGAGUGGAGAUGGACAAAGAGACAGGCAAGAGUUUGACAGAGAAGACAGACAUGAGUUAGAUGAAGAAGAUGGACAGGAGAUUGACAGGGGAGACGAAGAGGUGUUGGGUAGAGAAGACGGACAUGAGUUGGAUGGAGAAGAGGGACAGGAGAUUGAGAGUGAGGAGCCUAGAUUGGAGACUAGCAGUGAUGUAGGCCUAGCCCUGGGACGUUCCUGUGGAAAUGCCUCUUGUGAAGCCACAAUGAAACGAUUAAAUGAGGAGUGCACAAGAUUACAGACAGAAAUUUGGAAGCUGAAGGGUCAAGUAAAUUCAUUGUCUUUCAACCAAGAAAAUUUGAAGGACAAAGAUGAUGAAGUACAUAAAUUAACUGGCCUGCCUUCAUAUGUUGAACUAAUUGUUGUUUUCUCUUUUAUCUCAUCAUUCCUAAAGUUGAAAUCCUGUUUGUCCCCUUUUCAGCAGUUUCUGUUGACAUUAAUGCGCCUGAGAAUGAACUUGCCACUUUUCUUUUUAGCUCAUGUAUGUGUUUCAUGUAUCUACGUCAACUGCUGGUCGGGUUUUCAACAACACAUUGAAUGUCAUGAAUAUCAGGCUGUGUAA
rnacentral:lncRNA from 15 species